rnacentral:rRNA from 1 species
UACGUAGGUGACAAGCGUUAUCCGGAUUUAUUGGGCGUAAAGCGCACGCAGGCGGCGGAUUAAGUCUGACGUGAAAUCUCUCGGCUUAACCGGGAGCGGUCGUUGGAAACUAAUUGGCUUGAGGCGAUGAGAGGGGUGUGGAAUUCCCGGUGUAGUGGUGGAAUGCGUAGAUAUCGGGGGGAACAUCAGUGGCGAAAGCGGCACCCUGGCAUUAGCCUGACGCUCAUGUGCGAAAGCGUGGGGAGCGAACGGG